GACGAACCGUGCGAACGUUGUUCGGAAUCACUGGGCUUAAAGGGCGCGUAGGCGGCCUGCCAAGUCAGGGGUGAAAGCCCCCAGCUCAACUGGGGAAGUGCCUUUGAUACUGGCGGGCUCGAGCGAGGUAGGGGUCGUGGGAACUUCCGGUGGAGCGGUGAAAUGCGUUGAUAUCGGAAGGAACGCCGGUGGCGAAAGCGCACGACUGGACCUCUCCUGACGCUGAGGCGCGAAAGCCAGGGGGAGCAAACGGGG
rnacentral:rRNA from 1 species